CCAGGCAGCGCGCGGGCACCCAGGGCGUGGGGGUUCCUCCUCACUCCUCAGAUUGCAUCUCCGUGCGCCAGGAGGAGUGGCGGCGGUUCCUGUCUGCUGGGACAGCGCUGUAGGAGGCCAGAGAGCCCAGUCGUCUGGGGAGCCCAGACCCCUCUGGCCCAGGGGGCUCCAGGGGGACCAGAGCAGCUGCAAGGAUGAGAGAAGUUGGGAACGGAAGAGAAGAACAGGAAAGGAGGUCCCUCCAGCUCAGAAAGAUGAACCUUCUAGGAAGCAGGGGUGUGCAGAGCCGAUGAACAGUGCCCAGCACUUCCCAAGUCCCCAGACUGGAUGCUGACGCUCUCGGGGUCCUGGCGCCUGGCCUGGGCCCUUCUCUCCUCCUCUCCAUCUCUCCUUCGUGAUCUGGGCCUGGCCCGUGCCCGUGACACCGCCAGUGUGCUCAUGACUCCCAAAUCCAUGUCUGCAGCCCUGGCUCUUCCCCUGGACUCCAGACUUCCAGGUUCAAGCACCCCUUCAACCUCUCCUCCCAAGCCUUCCCCACCUCAUGGAGCGGCACCCCCAAUGCCCAGUAGCUAAAGCCCCAAACCUGGGAUGCCUCCGUUUCCCUCAUCUCCCAUGUCCAGUCCAUCGGGAACUCGUGUCAGUUCUACAUCAUAAAUAAACCCAGAUUUGGGGUGCCCGGCGGGCUCACUCAGAA